UCCAGCCUCUGGCCCCACGCUGCCUCACACACCCUGGCCAAGCCCCCCUUCUCCACAAUAUGUUUCUAAUCUGCCCAGGAACAGUCACCACUUCGGUUUUCCUGCCUGGUCUAAUCAGCUUCGCCUCUGGGCCUCGGCGUCCCGGUGUUCGUGUCAGAAGUGGGAUCUGAACUAGAGCUUCCAGUGACUCCCCAGGAGCAGCAUGUGACCAAGGGAAGUAUCCAUGGGACCCUUUGUCGUCCGUUACUUUCUCACAGCACCUGGGAUUAUGGGUAAGUUCUCUUUCAGAUUUGAGCUCCAUGAAGUUGUGUUUAGAGCGCUCUGAAUUUUAUAUGAGCAAAUUUUGGUCCAAACUAGCUUUGAAGUUGCAACAAACU